UAGGGAAUUUUCCACAAUGGGUGAGAGCCUGAUCCAGCCAUGCCGCGUGCAGGAAGAAGGCGUUAUGCGUUGUAAACUGCUUUUUGCCAGGGGAUAAAAAGACCGUGCGCGGUUAAUUGAAGGUACCUGGUGAAUAAGCCACGGCUAACUACGUGCCAGCAGCCGCGGUAAUACGUAGGUGGCAAGCGUUGUCCGGAUUUAUUGGGUUUAAAGGGUGCGUAGGUGGCCCUGUAAGUCAGUGGUGAAAUAUCUCAGCUUAACUGAGAGGGUGCCAUUGAUACUGCAGGGCUUGAGUACAGAUGAGGUAGGCGGAAUUGACGGUGUAGCGGUGAAAUGCAUAGAUAUCGUCAAGAACACCGAUAGCGAAGGCAGCUUACCAAGCUGUAACUGACACUGAGGCACGAAAGUGUGGGGAUCAAACAGGAUUAGAUACCCUAGUAGUCCCUGAGCGGGCUGGCAAGGCGCAU
rnacentral:rRNA from 1 species